CCUACGGGAGGCAGCAGUGGGGAAUAUUGGACAAUGGGGGCAACCCUGAUCCAGCCAUGCCGCGUGUGUGAAGAAGGCCCUCGGGUUGUAAAGCGCUUUCAGUGAGGAAGAACGCCUGGUGGUUAAUACCCAUCAGGAAAGACAUCACUCACAGAAGAAGCACCGGCUAACUCCGUGCCAGCAGCCGCGGUAAUACGGAGGGUGCGAGCGUUAAUCGGAAUUACUGGGCGUAAAGCGCGCGUAGGUGGCUUGAUAAGCCGGUUGUGAAAGCCCCGGGCUCAACCUGGGAACGGCAUCCGGAACUGUCAAGCUAGAGUGCAGGAGAGGAAGGUAGAAUUCCCGGUGUAGCGGUGAAAUGCGUAGAGAUCGGGAGGAAUACCAGUGGCGAAGGCGGCCUUCUGGACUGACACUGACACUGAGGUGCGAAAGCGUGGGUAGCAAACAGGAUAGAUACCCUAGUAGUC
rnacentral:rRNA from 1 species